ACACGUUAAGUAGGCUUGGACCUCACCUCACCCACCGUAUUCCCCUUCCUCUCUCACUCGUCGCGCCACUCUCCAUCUCGCCGCCGCCGCUCGCCGGCAAAGGGACACCGAGGGUCAGCCUUCUCCAGCAGCGCCCGACGAUCGUGGCUCUACCUUAACCUGCGGGAACCCUAGCGCUGUCAUGCCGGCUGGUGUCGAGGACCACUACGCCCGGCCUCGCGCGCCAUCUCCAUGUCCUCCGCCGCCUACCUCUCCGGAAGGUUUGCGGGAUCACGGCCUACCUACCUAUUGCUCCUCCCAACCAUUGGUGGAUCCUCCAUGGAAACGGCGGUACUGCGACAGAGGUGGGGGCGAGACGGCUUGGCGAACGCCUCCACAAGGUCGCGACUCCACGACCAUGAGGAGCUCAUCCAGACCCAUCUCGAGCUCGAAGAGCCUGACCAUGACGGCGGUCUGCAAAAGAUAGUUACUGGGAACGUGGUGUGAAAGGACCCAUCACAACCAUAAGCCCCGCUCAUUUCCCUCCCACAAGUUUCCAAGGACCUCUCAACCGAGAUUCGGGAGGAGCUGUGCAGCUCCCUUCCCGGCGUGUACAUGGGCGCUCCCUUGCUGGCGCCGCCGACAAGUCACGCUGCGACGCCAUGUACUCCUCCCUAUCUUGGUCAAAACAGGUUAUUCACAGUUGAGUGGGAGAACCAAGCUCUAUAUUCUGAACAAGGAUGCUGAGUUGCUGUUAAAAAUCUUGAAGAAAUAAGCAAAGUUGUUCCAGUUAAAUUAGGAUGUUGAGCUGCUGUUAAGGAUGUCUUGCACACCCCAACCUGCUGCUGCCGCUCAGGUGCCAAGUGAGCUCGGCUUCCAAGUCCGUGCCACCGUCUGGAGCAAGGCUAGAGCUGGCCCAAGAGAGCCAAUGCUGCUGGUUCGAGGCCGAGUCUUGAGUGUGACCUAUCUAGGAGAAGCAGGGCAUUGUCAAGCAUCGUCUUGCUCUUGAUGUGUGGAAGGGCAGAUGUCUCAUAGAUGGCGGCGCCGGAGCAUGUGAAGGCAGAGCUAGGAUCGUUUUGGGCGUAGCAGCAAGUUGUCGAGCUGUUGAUGCCAUGGUCCACUAUGCCCUGCUGCUCUUUCCUUCUUUUACUUGCAUGUCACCUACAUCACCACGGCCCCUCAGAAGGUAUGAAGGAAAGUGUGACCUGCUGUAAAACCAAACAAUAAUGUUGACCAAGUUUCUUGUGCAUCGGAGGGGAAUAAAAAACCCGACCGACUGUAUGUUUUGGAAGCUGACAUGGACUUUAAAUCGAAUUCACUCUUGUCUUACCUUCAAGCAGACAAUGAGUCAAUUCUAGAUUCUGAGCUCAACUUUCCUGCCACGGAAGCAGGUUUUCCUAUCUCUAGACUGUUGCGUUUGAGAGCAUCUGUGUAGCUGUUAAGACUUCUGUUUGGUGCGGUGGCGACAAGGCUUGGCCUCAGCACCUAUCCGAUUACUGCAGCGAGAGAGCAAAAGCCAAAAUUCUGAAGAUAUAUAUGGUGAAAUACAUACGUACACCCAAGCAUGGGUGUGGGUGCUUCUAGAGCCGUUGGAUGCGCAAAGAUGCGGACAAGAUGCGAGGUGAGAGAAGUUAUUUUACUCUUUCUCCACCAUUUCUGUAAAGUUGGUGGGUCCUAUGAUCAGGGACAGAAAGCCAGCAGACAAGGCUUUUGACUCCCACGAUCCCGCUGCUCGUCUCGUCUCUCACCAGACACGUCCACCAGCAUCCUCUCCUCCCGAUUCUCCCCUCUCACCCGACACGGCCGGCCGCGACCAGCAUCCUCUCUUCCACCAUGUCCCAGACUAACCCGCGCAGCAGCACCGGCGGCGGAUGCGGCGGAGGAUCUGGCUACUCACAACUGCUCCCAGUCCUCAUGUAGCCUUGUAGGUACAGCAUCCCGACGCGACACCCUUGAUAAUGCGGAACCUCUCGCCUCAGCUCAGGAGCAUCUUCGUCUGGUCGUACAGGUGCUUGUCGAGGUUGCCGUGAGCAUGUUGUUGUACACCAGGAGGAGCUCGCCCUUGCGCCGGAAGUAGCCGUCUAGCCGAGCAGCUGCACGAGGUUGCGGUGCCGGAGCCGGCCGAUGGUCACCACCUCGAUUGAACUCCUCAUCCCCAUCGUGUAAUGUUGAUAUGUGCCCUGUAGUGCUAAUGUAUCCAAACUGUACCUCUGAUGUUCUUAGCAGCUAGUAAUGAAAAGUAUGUCUGAAUAUGUGUGUGUUCCGGCUUGUAGUGUUAGCAUCUAUGUGUGUGUUUCAA